ACGGGUGAGUAACGCGUGGGUAACCUGCCUUGUACUGGGGGACGAACAGUUGGAACGACUGCUAAUACCGCAUAAGCGCACAGCUUCGCAUGAAGCAGUGUGAAAAACUCCGGUGGUACAAGAUGGACCCGCGUCUGAUUAGCUGGUUGGUGAGGUAACGGCCCACCAAGGCGACGAUCAGUAGCCGGCCUGAGAGGUGAACGGCCACAUUGGGACUGAGACACGGCCCAAACUCCUACGGGAGGCAGCAUG
rnacentral:rRNA from 1 species